AGUGAAGACUAAGAGUAGUGCCAGAG
rnacentral:sRNA from 1 species